UACAGAUGGGGCAAGCGUUGUUCGGAAUUACUGGGCGUAAAGGGCGCGUAGGCGGCCUGUUAAGUCGAACGUGAAAUCCCCGGGCUCAACCCGGGAACUGCGUCCGAUACUGGCAGGCUUGAAUUCGGGAGAGGGAUGCGGAAUUCCAGGUGUAGCGGUGAAAUGCGUAGAUAUCUGGAGGAACACCGGUGGCGAAGGCGGCAUCCUGGACCGAGAUUGACGCUGAGGCGCGAAAGCCAGGGGAGCAAACGGG
rnacentral:rRNA from 1 species